ACACAGUCACGUGACGGAGCCUUCUUGCUGGCUGGAGCAGCAUGGCUCUGUUGGACGAUGCCUUGUAUUGCAUUGUAGUAAUAGGCGCCCCUGCUUUUGAAGAUGUCCUUGACAGUAUCUCUGUUGUUGAUUUAUCGAUACGUGUGUGAGAAAAAAAAGAGAUAAUUGAAGAAUUGAAGGAGAUAACUGUUGACUUCCAAACUACUGCAUGUCUUGGAUAGUGGGAAUGGUGACCUUUUGCAAUUUCUUGUAGAUGUGAAAGUAUGGUGCAGCCUACUGAAGUCUAACUUUUUGUAGAGGAUGUAUAUAAAUGAUCGCGGUAGGUUAAGAACUUCUGCUGGAGUCCCAUAAUAGAUGUACUGUAGAGCAUCCUGUGACUAACAUAGUUGUACCCUAUUGACAACUAAAAUGUAAACUUCCCUUAUAUAAUG